CCUACGGGUGGCAGCAGUAGGGAAUAUUGCUCAAUGGGGGAAACCCUGAAGCAGCAACGUCGCGUGGAGGAUGAAGGUUCUCGGAUUGUAAACUCCCUUUGUUAGAGAAGAUAAUGACGGUAUGUAACGAAUAAGCACCGGCUAACUCCGUGCCAGCAGCCGCGGUAAUACGGAGGGUGCAAGCGUUACUCGGAAUCACUGGGCGUAAAGAGGGCGUAGGCGGGAUAGCAAGUCAGUUGUGAAAUCCUUUGGCUUAACCAUAGAACUGCAUUUGAAACUGUUAUUCUAGAGUAUGGGAGAGGUAGGUGGAAUUCGUGGUGUAGGGGUGAAAUCCGUAGAGAUCAAGAAGAAUACUCAUUGCGAAGGCGGCCUGCUAGAACAUAACUGACGCUGAGGCGCGAAAGCGUGGGGAGCAAACAGGAUUAGAUACCCUAGUAGUC
rnacentral:rRNA from 1 species